UACGAAGGGGGCUAGCGUUGCUCGGAAUUACUGGGCGUAAAGGGCGCGUAGGCGGGCCGUUAAGUUGGGGGUGAAAGCCCAGGGCUCAACCCUGGAAUUGCCUUCAAUACUGGCGACCUUGAGUAUGGCAGAGGUGUGUGGAACUCCGAGUGUAGAGGUGAAAUUCGUAGAUAUUCGGAGGAACACCAGAGGCGAAGGCGGCUACCUGGACAAUUGCUGACGCUCAGGCACGAAAGCGUGGGGAGCAAAAGGG
rnacentral:rRNA from 1 species